AGGAGAACUUUAUCGUCGACGUUGCUGACAGCAAGUCGUUCGCGCGAUUUCCAUCUAACCAAGUAGAGAACCGCGAAGAUGGAGAGAGGCUGAAAGAGGAGAGAAGAGAGAUAAGAUGAGAAGAAGGAAAGGGAGAAGUACGGAGGGAUUUCGAGAACGAGAAAACGUUUUCCAGUAUCCCGACUAUGUCUCUUAAGCAAAACGAGAUGUCUUAAUCGUCGUGACUGAAUAAUCGUCGAUAUAGAAUACGCUUCUUGAUCCUAAAAAUUAUACCGAGAUAAAAGAAGAACAAGCGAAGAAAAAGAAGAAGAAGAAGAUGAAAAAGAAAUAAGAGAAAAUAAAGGGUAAACAAAAGAGAGAAGGUUAGAGAAAGAUCUUGGCACGAACGGUAGGGAUCAGAGGGAAAUGAGAAAAAAGAAUUUUACGAAUGUGUACCGUGCGAUGCAAUGAAGUCUCCAUUGGUAUUCGAGGGUGAGUAAAAGAGGGUGAGACCCUACGAGAAAGAUCUGCGUCUCCAACGGUGCAGUUUAUGUGGACACUGAUUUGAAGCGAACGCUAGAAAAUUUGACAUUCCCGCCAGCUUUUCGGGCCACUGUUGGAUUACGGUAGCGCACACUUACGUAAAGGCCGUCCCCAAGGAAUGGGACUAUCCCUCUGUCAUGGUACUUCGUAGAAAAGAAGAAAGAGUCGGGCGAGUCCUGGAAUAUGUAAGCGAAGCUCUACGAAGAAGUCGCAGUGAAUUUUUAGACGCAGUUGAGUUUGUCUACGAGAUUUUAUUCCUCUCUUUCUACCUUUUUCUCUGCUUCUAUCCAGGGAAAAUGAUUUUCAAAAUUGCAAUGCGUCCAUUGAGGAUUACGUGCCCGUGCUUUAAAGUAAAGUAUUUUUCGCAAGAUCAUCGCGAAAUGGACCAAUGAUUCGACCCAGAUAUAAAUCUGUGUAACACGUUAAUAAAGAUACAAGGAACGAGAGAAAUGAUUAAAAAUCGAGACGAAAGGAGAGUGAGGCCACCAUCGACGAGCAUGUUUACAAGUGGUUCUCAACAAUUCACCUCAACGAGCAAAGAAAGAAAGAGAAAAGAAGUAUAAAAGCAAGUGAAGCGAAUUUCUAUACUGUUAUCGAAUCUUUGGAAAGAGAGUCAUAUUUAAAAAUAAUGGCUUCUUCUUUGCAGUGUUUUUAGUCCAACAUCCAACUUACCGAUCGAAAGAACGAAGAAUGAUUCGUUUUGCAAGAACGAACAAUAGGAACAUAUAACUUGGAUAAGAACAUAUAUUCAUAUUUGAUAAUUUAAAAGAGAAUCAAGCAACGAAGAAGAACGAUCUGUUUCAAAAAGGAUGGUGUGGAGCGAAUCAAAUGGAAAGAAUGAAUCAGAGAGAAAAACGAUACGAGACGAAGUGAUAGAAUCAAAUGAUAGAAAAAGUAAAAUAGUCUGACUGCUUCAACUCGACUCUUGGAAAGUUCUUCGUACAAGUACUGCAUCGCGUACAUACUUCUCGUCAUACUUUUUCUACCUCUGUUUUCUACUCAGCUAUGGUAGUAGCGUACGACCAUCGUCUAAGCGAGGAAAUUGAUUCGUGUUCUGUACUUUACAUGAUUAUGACGACACUCGAAUAUAAAUCGUUAACGACCACGACGUCUAGAUUGCGUCUACUCGAGUCUCUCGUCAAUUUGAAAAAAAUAUCGGAGAAAGUAUACGAUGAAUAAAUUUAAUUACAUUCUGAAGAUAUCGCACUAAGGAAAGAACCGUUUAUGCGAAACGAAUAUCUUCUUAUUCUGUACAGAAAAAAAACAUGUAAUUUCGUAAAAAAGCAUUUUUGUGCUAAAUUUUGUAGAAAAAGAAGUAGAUAUAUUUACUUGUAAUUGAUUUAACAUAUAAUAGAAAAAAAACGUUCAAACAUAAAUAAAAAUAUAAUAGUCGAUAAACUGUUAAUGUCUUGGACAAGAAUCCAACAAAAAUCUGUAAAGUACAUGAAAAAAGAAAUAAAAAGUUCCGGAAAAUAUCCCUAGUAUAGAAAGCUCAACAAACUAGCACACUAACCUAUAUAAUUUCUUGGAAAGACAACCGUGCUAUAGCGAGAAACAAAUAGACAAAAAAAACUGUCUAUGCUUCGUGAGCCCCCCAUAUAUGGAUAUCGCACUCUCACCUAUAUAAAUUCCGGGAAUAAGUCUCAGCGAAGUGAGCAAGUAGAAAAAACUAACUUUUUCUUCUUCCUCGAUGCGUGUAACUAAACUCGUUUUCCUACUG